GGGAAAGUGGCUCAGUGGUAGAGUGCUUGUCUUGCAUGCAUGAGGCCCUGGGUUCCAUUCCUCAGUACCCA
rnacentral:tRNA from 1 species